GGGGCUGAUUCUGGAUUCGACGGGAUUUGCGAAACCCAAGGUGCAUGCCGAGGGGCGGUUGGCCUCGUAAAAAGCCGCAAAAAAUAGUCGCAAACGACGAAAACUACGCUUUAGCAGCUUAAUAACCUGCUUAGAGCCCUCUCUCCCUAGCCUCCGCUCUUAGGACGGGGAUCAAGAGAGGUCAAACCCAAAAGAGAUCGCGUGGAAGCCCUGCCUGGGGUUGAAGCGUUAAAACUUAAUCAGGCUAGUUUGUUAGUGGCGUGUCCGUCCGCAGCUGACAAGCGAAUGUAAAGACUGACUAAGCAUGUAGUACCGAGGAUGUAGGAAUUUCGGACGCGGGUUCAACUCCCGCCAGCUCCACCA
rnacentral:tmRNA from 1 species